rnacentral:rRNA from 1 species
GACGGACGCUGGCGGCGUGCCUAAUACAUGCAAGUCGAACGCAUUUUCUUUCACCGUAGCUUGCUACACCGACAGAAAAUGAGUGGCGAACGGGUGAGUAACACGUGGGUAACCUGCCCAUCAGCGGGGGAUAACACUUGGAAACAGGUGCUAAUACCGCAUAAUUCCAUUUACCGCAUGGUAAAUGGAUGAAAGGCGCUUUUGCGUCACUGAUGGAUGGACCCGCGGUGCAUUAGCUAGUUGGUGGGGUAACGGCCUACCAAGGCUGCGAUGCAUAGCCGACCUGAGAGGGUGAUCGGCCACACUGGGACUGAGACACGGCCCAGACUCCUACGGGAGGCAGCAGUAGGGAAUCUUCGGCAAUGGACGCAAGUCUGACCGAGCAACGCCGCGUGAUUGAAGAAGGUUUUCGGAUCGUAAAACUCUGUUGUUAGAGAAGAACAAGGAUGAGAGUGGAAAGUUCAUCCCUUGACGGUAUCUAACCAGAAAGCCACGGCUAACUACGUG